rnacentral:lncRNA from 1 species
GUUUAUGUUUAUGUUUAUGCAUAGCGGGUAGAUAUAUAUUUGCAUGAGAUGUGGAUAGUCAAUCGAAAGAGACCUAAAUUAAAACCUCCUCAAUCAAUCAAGAGUGAACCAACAAUGAGCUAGUCAUAUUAGAUUAAUUGAUCUAAUUGGUGUCUAGGAAAGCAUGAAAGGUAGUUACUUAAUUAGGACCUUACUCUCCGAGUAAGAAGAGCCUCCCACCUGCUUACCUGACCAAUUGAUUGAUUACCUCCCAUGAAGAGCUCAAAGUUGCAAACACUAAGAUAUGAUUAUGCAAUAUUAAGUCCAUAGGUCUUCCACCGUAGUAGAGUUGCUAAGAUCUUUUCGGUGUUAAUUUGUCUCGGCUGGACACAGUGGACAAGUUGCAUCAGGAGGCUAGACCUCUUUAUAGACAUGAGAUGUUGUAGGGAUAAAGAUGAGGUUGGGCCUCAAUAACUGUUAGGUGAGGACCCAAUGACGAUUUUAUUUCUAUAGUUAUACGGUGGGUCAGACUUAACUAAGAAAUGGGACAAAUAACUGUUAGGUGAGGUCUUCAUAACUUAGAGACCGAGUAGCACUGCAAUUUGCUUGAGAAGUAUUGUACAAGAGUUGUACACUCAUCUUUUUAUGUAUCACCAAAAACUGUUAGGUGAGGUAGCAUGUAAAUCGGUGGAACCGCAGUACCCACUAGAAACCCUAGUCGCGUAGGAUUUCCGUUUCGCUACCAGAGAAGUGUGAAGGAUUCGAGAAAAUAGUGGAAGGUGUAUUUGUUUUCAAAGUCCCUAAAACAAAUAGAAUUCAAGUACAAAAUCUAACUAGAAUAUUUACUCUCUACAGAUCACAAUGUCAGCUUCGAACCCUUUGACCCGUAUUCUAGAGACCAACCGACUGACCAGAACCAAUUACAAAGACUGGCUAAGAAACCUGAAAAUCGUUCUGAAUUGCGAGAAAAUAGGCUAUGUACUCAAAAACAAUAUUCCCAGAUUA